CCCAGUUUGCAUAUUUUAUUACGUAAAUACAUGUAUUGUUAACCAAACUUACUUGUCAAGAGUCUAUCUCAAAUAGUCCCACAAGGUGUUCCAAUAUGUGUACAUAUACAAAACAGUGAAUCAUCAUUUGGCUUAUUUCAGUACAGACAUGGCAUCUACAAUAUCUUCUGAAUAUUGGGGAGGCAUGUUGCUCAGGGUUAUGAGACUAUCACAGCUAUAGCUCUCCCACUGAACACUGAGGUUUGGGUCAGCCAUGUCUGGGCUCUUUAAACACCAGUAACAGAUUACAGGAUCACAAAUGUCCAAAACAAUAACAGUUUAAUCAUAUUUCAGAAGCAGUCAGCAAUAUUUACAAUCCACACAUUUGCAGUAAGUGCUAUAAUACUAUUAUAAACCUUUAUCUGUACAGGAAGAUGUUAGGAAUGUAUCAGACAGCGCUACUGUUGUCUUCUGGUAAAUGACCUGCAUGGGCCCCAUCUGCCCCUGAUGUAGAGACACCACUGGUCUUCUUUCUUUCAACUGAACAAGUUCCAGACAUUCCAGGCUUGUUCCAAUACACAAGGGUCCAAUCUGUAAGUGAACAAAACACAAACAACAUUUCAACAUCUGUUGGUUUACGAUCAUCUGCUCUUUAAUAACAUGUGUGUGUGUGAGAGAGAGACCAUCAAUUUAAAUUGGGAGUGAGAGUAUGAUUUUCUCCCAAACAUUAUUUCUAAUGGACAACUAUUAACAUUCUCAAACAGUCCAUAUUCCAGGGCAGAGAUAAUUUCUAUAUUUGCUCUACAGGAUAUCUAAUUAGGUGUGAUGUGUGGGUAGUGAUGAUUUGAGACGAUUGGAAGUGGAUAUGUCUGCUUGUACAAUUUUGGCAAACCAGCCAAUUCACAAAAUCAUUAAUACAUAUAUAAAAAUGGUUAUUAUCAAAAUGAUAAAUAUUCUCUCAACACUGAAGCCCAUAAAAACAAAUGCCCGUCGUGACUGAGGUGAGUGGAGAAUGUACUGUGAUAAUCUCCAUCAUGACUGAGGUGAGUGGAGAAUGUACUGUGAUAAUCUCAUGACUGAGGUGAGUGGAGAAUGUACUGUGAUAAUCUCCAUCAUGACUGAGGUGAGUGGAGAAUGUACUGUGAUAAUCUCCAGCAUCAAAGGCAGGAUGGAGCUGCUCUAGUUCACCUUAAGGAAUACGUUUCUCACACUAAACUUGACCUGACAGACCACUAGAAAAUUAUAUUUUUUCUAUGUUCUCGUAUUUUAAUAUUGUCAAAUCUGUCUUUUUUAUACCAAAUUACUUUAUGUUCAAGAACUGCCCUCACAAAUACAAAUAUACGUUCCUGUCCAGAUAAGAGUAAUUCCUCAGCCAUUAAACAGGAAUUGGCAAAAAUCAGUAUACUGCCCCUGGUG
ensembl:lncRNA